GACGGGGCCCGCACAGCGGCGGAGCAUGCGGUAUUAAUUCGAUGCAACGACGAACGAACCUUACCAAGGCUUGACAUACUACCGGAAACCCUCAGAGAGUGGGGCCCCGCAAGGUCGGUAUACAGGUGGUGCAUGGUUGUCGUCAGCUCGUGUCGUGAGAUGUUGGGUUAAGUCCCGCAACGAGCGCAACCCUCGUUCUAUGUUGCCAGCACGUGAUGGUGGGGACUCAUAGGAGACUGCCGGGGUCAACUCGGAGGAAGGUGGGGAUGACGUCAAAUCAUCAUGCCCCUUACGUCUUGGGCUUCACGCAUGCUACAAUGGCCGGUACAGAGGGCUGCGAAACCGUGAGGUGGAGCGAAUCCCUUAAAGCUGGUCUCAGUUCGGAUUGGGGUCUGCAACUCGACCCCAUGAAGUCGGAGUCGCUAGUAAUCGCAGAUCAGCAACGCUGCGGUGAAUACGUUCCCGGGCCUU
rnacentral:rRNA from 1 species